AGAGAGCACCCACAAGAUCACCUAGACGAAGAAGAGGAGAAGGAACAGAAAGAUUUGAACUUUCGGCGGAGGAUGAAGAAAGCCAAACCAACCCUAGACCAGAAAUCAGUGAUAGUUAAAUCAUGUGCAUAUAUAUAUAUAUAGGGACAGUGAUGUGGUUUGCAGCCUGUGAUAUCCACUUUUGGUUUUGGAUAGACAUC
rnacentral:misc_RNA from 1 species